UUAUUACUUUAAGUGAAAUUUUUUUAUUAUAUUUUUUAUUAAAAAAUUUAAAGUAACUCAUUUUCAUAAGCUAACGUUGAUCUGAUUUAAUUAUUUAAUUUUAAUAAUUUAAUUUAAAAAUUAUUUUUAAACGAAGGUAUACAAGUUAAAUUUACAAUCUAAGAUAAGAUUAUUCGUGGAUUGUCGAUAAAAGAAACAAGUUCCUUAAACAAAUUUCAUAAAUUUAAAUAAUUAACUAUUUAAUAAGUAUAAUAGUCAACGCCUGGUUUAUUUUUAAAAUUUUAAAG
rnacentral:rRNA from 1 species